UACGGAGGGGGCUAGCGUUGUUCGGAAUUACUGGGCGUAAAGCGCGCGUAGGCGGACCUGCAAGUCGGGGGUGAAAGCCCGAGGCUCAACCUCGGAACUGCCUUCGAUACUGCGGGUCUCGAGUACGGAAGAGGCGAGUGGAAUUCCUGGUGUAGCGGUGAAAUGCGCAGAUAUCAGGAGGAACACCAAUGGCGAAGGCAGCUCGCUGGGACGUUACUGACGCUGAGACGCGAAAGCGUGGGGAGCAAACAGG
rnacentral:rRNA from 1 species